rnacentral:lncRNA from 10 species
UUUACAUUAGUGUUCACUCUGCUGGAUUGUAUGGUAAGGUAUGUUUAGUUUUGCAAGAAACCAUGAAACUGUCUUCAAAAGUGGCUGUACCACUUUACAUUCACAUCAGCAAUAAAUGACAGUUUCUGUUGCUCCAUGUCCUCGUCAGCAUUUGGUGGUGUCAGUGAUCUGGAUGUCAGCCAUUUUGAAAGGUGUGUAGUGGUAUCCUAUUGGUGUUUUAAUUUAUAUUACCCUAAUGACACAUGAUACAGAGAAUAUUUUCAUAGCUUAUUUACAUCGGUGUUAUACCUUCUUUGGUGAGGUUUCUCUUAAGAACUUUGUUCAUUUUCUUAUCUAAGGUUUUUCUAUGCUGAGUACCAGGGGAAUGCAGGACAAGGAGAAGGACAUACUUUCUUCCUUCAGAGAGCUACCAGAGGAGAAAUGACAGUGUCUAUUAGGAACUGGCCUUAGAAUCUCCCAGGUUGAUGAGACUUGCUUAAGUAACAACCUUAGUGGGAAAAUGCCAGUGGAAUUUCAUGAGUAUGACUGGCAGUGCCUGCGAGGAGGAGAGCUGCGAGGAGGAGAAGGAUGAGAUACUUUUGGUUAGAUGCAGAAAUAGCAGCUCAGAGAGGCAAGUGACCUGCCCAAGGCCCCAGGAACCAGGUCUAGAGGGACCCUGGUGUGUCUUUGCCUGAGAGAUGGAGCUGUCUGUUCCCGGCAUGGCCUGGAGGGGAAGAAGACCGUGGAAGGGAGAGGGCAGGGAGCUGCCUCACCUGCUAACUCUUCUCGAUUGAACCAGCUCUUCGCUUGGGAAUUUGACUGCAAUAUGACUUCUCAGGACACCAGACAUCCUAGCCUUAAAGAGGGCACAGGUACAUUUUCCUAGGCCAAAUUAAUAUGGAUUUUGAAUUAUCUCCUGUUGUUCAGAAAGAUCCUCCCUGCAUUGGUGGUUUUGACAUUUCCCAGGCUCCAAGAGCCAUGGAUCUCCUCUGAGAGCUGCACUGGAGAAGGUUCUGAAAGUCUUCUUUACAUCUCUAACCAGACAGGUCCUUAGGAAACUCCUCCAGCAAGCACUGACCCCUUCACAGCCAGUCCUGUGUCGGACUCUGAGGUAAAGACACCACCCAGUUGCUGCCCUCAGAAUCAACCUAGCCCUUGCUUCUCUCACAAGAGUGAAACUUGGAGGCAUUAAUAUAUAUUUUUGUUCUGCAAAACUUUAAAGAAUAAAACAUUAGAAAUAAAACUAUAACAAUCAUCCAUGUGCCUGCCACCCAGAUUUAUUGUUUUUUAAAGAAGUAAAACAUAAAUAUAGUUAAAAUUCCUUGUGUAUCCCUCCCAGUCCCAAUCCUCCCUCAGAGGCAAGCACUGUGGUGAAGCUUGUUACUGUUCUACAUGUAUUUCACAGUUUUAUUAUAUAUUCAUAUGCACAUAGCACAUAAACUUAAAAGACAUAAACUCAUACUGUAUAUAAAUUAAAUUUUACACUUAAUAUAAAUAUAAUUUAUAUAUUACACAUUACAAAAAGUUGUUUAUGUACUGCAUAAGCUUUACAUUUAAAUAUUAUACUUAGUCAAAAAUAAACUAUAUAUUUACAUAAAUAUAAACUAACAUUUAUAUACCGUAUGUCUAACAUUAACGUUUAUACUGUGUAUAGUGUGUAUAAAUUAAAAUGUACAAAAUUAGCUUCAAACCCUUCACAUAAUGAUGGUCUAACUUGCCUUUUGUCCAACACAAUAUAUUUUUAUUUCUAUUCAUUUUGAUGCAUCUUGAUUCCCUUCAUUCAUUCCAACUGCAGUGGAGUUUUCCAUUAUUGGAAUAUGUCACAAAUAAUUUAUGACUGUCCUAUGAUUUGCAAAGUACACUUGUUUGAAAUUUCCUAUGACUACAAACAAUGCUGCCACACAUUCUGUGGCUGUUUUCUUGUGUACACAUGCGAGUGAUUUUAGGACAGAUACAUAGAAGUGGAUGCUUCCCCUUUACCAGGUAUUGUCAGUUGUUUUUAAAAGAUGUCUGCGUGUGCACUGUCACACCAGCAGCAUAAGAGGCUCCUAUUUCUCUGCAUUCUUGCUGCCACCAGGCCAUGUUGAUCUUGAACUUUGUUGUUAAUUGGAUGGAAGUGAAAUGGUAUCUCAUUGGUGUUUCACUUGUUUCCCGACUAUUCAUGAAGUUGACAAUCUUUUCAUGGAUAUUGACCCUCCGGGUUUCUGCUUCUGUGAAAUGCCUUUUCAUAGUUUUUGCCUAUUUUUCUCUCUUGGGUUAUUUAUCUUUCCCUUAUUAAUCUGUAGGAGUUCUUAAAAUAUUCAGGUUUUUAAUCCUUUGUUGGUUGUGAGCAUUCACCAUGCUUCUCCUGGUCUGUGACUUGUCUUUGAAUUUUGUUUAUAAUGU